rnacentral:rRNA from 1 species
GACGAACGCUGGCGGCGUGCCUAAUACAUGCAAGUAGAACGCUGAAGUAAGAGCUUGCUCUUACGGAUGAGUUGCGAACGGGUGAGUAACACGUGGGGAACCUACCUUCUAGCGGGGGAUAACACAUAGAAAUGUGUGCUAAUACCGCAUAAUAGUAUUUGAUGCAUAUCAGAUAUUUGAAAGGCGCAAUUGCGUCACUAGAAGAUGGCCCCGCGGUGCAUUAGCUAGUUGGUGAGGUAACGGCUCACCAAGGCAAUGAUGCAUAGCCGACCUGAGAGGGUGAUCGGCCACACUGGGACUGAGACACGGGCCCAGACUCCUACGGGAGGCAGCAGUAGGGAAUCUUUCGGCAAUGGACGCAAGUUCUGACCGAGCAAACCGCCGCCUGAG